AGCGAACGCUGGCGGCAGGCCUAACACAUGCAAGUCGAACGAACCUUUCGGGGUUAGUGGCGGACGGGUGAGUAACACGUGGGAACGUGCCUUUAGGUUCGGAAUAACUCAGGGAAACUUGUGCUAAUACCGAAUGUGCCCUUCGGGGGAAAGAUUAAUCGCCUUUAGAGCGGCCCGCGUCUGAUUAGCUAGUUGGUUGAGGUAAUGGCUCACCAAGGAGACGAUCAGUAGCUGGUCUGAGAGGAUGAUCAGCCACAUUGGGACUGAGACACGGCCCAAACUCCUACGGGAGGCAGCAGUGGGGAAUCUUGCGCAAUGGGCGAAAGCCUGACGCAGCCAUGCCGCGUGAAUGAUGAAGGUCUUAGGAUUGUAAAAUUCUUUCACCGGGGACGAUAAUGACGGUACCCGGAGAAGAAGCCCCGGCUAACUUCGUG
rnacentral:rRNA from 1 species